UUUUAUGGAGAGUUUGAUCCUGGCUCAGAGUGAACGCUGGCGGCGUGCCUAAUACAUGCAAGUCGAACGAUGAAGCUUCUAGCUUGCUAGAAUGCUGAUUAGUGGCGCACGGGUGAGUAACGCAUAGGUUAUGUGCCUCUUAGUUUGGGAUAGCCAUUGGAAACGAUGAUUAAUACCAGAUACUCCCUACGGGGGAAAGAUUUAUCGCUAAGAGAUCAGCCUAUGUCCUAUCAGCUUGUUGGUAAGGUAAUGGCUUACCAAGGCUAUGACGGGUAUCCGGCCUGAGAGGGUGAACGGACACACUGGAACUGAGACACGGUCCAGACUCCUACGGGAGGCAGCAGUAGGGAAUAUUGCUCAAUGGGGGAAACCCUGAAGCAGCAACGCCGCGUGGAGGAUGAAGGUUUUAGGAUUGUAAACUCCUUUUGUUAGAGAAGAUAAUGACGGUAUCUAACGAAUAAGCACCGGCUAACUCCGUGCCAGCAGCCGCGGUAAUACGGAGGGUGCAAGCGUUACUCGGAAUCACUGGGCGUAAAGAGCGCGUAGGCGGGAUAGUCAGUCAGGUGUGAAAUCCUAUGGCUUAACCAUAGAACUGCAUUUGAAACUACUAUUCUAGAGUGUGGGAGAGGUAGGUGGAAUUCUUGGUGUAGGGGUAAAAUCCGUAGAGAUCAAGAGGAAUACUCAUUGCGAAGGCGACCUGCUGGAACAUUACUGACGCUGAUUGCGCGAAAGCGUGGGGAGCAAACAGGAUUAGAUACCCUGGUAGUCCACGCCCUAAACGAUGGAUGCUAGUUGUUGGAGGGCUUAGUCUCUCCAGUAAUGCAGCUAACGCAUUAAGCAUCCCGCCUGGGGAGUACGGUCGCAAGAUUAAAACUCAAAGGAAUAGACGGGGACCCGCACAAGCGGUGGAGCAUGUGGUUUAAUUCGAAGAUACACGAAGAACCUUACCUAGGCUUGACAUUGAGAGAAUCCGCUAGAAAUAGUGGAGUGUCUGGCUUGCCAGACCUUGAAAACAGGUGCUGCACGGCUGUCGUCAGCUCGUGUCGUGAGAUGUUGGGUUAAGUCCCGCAACGAGCGCAACCCCCUUUCUUAGUUGCUAACAGGUCAUGCUGAGAACUCUAAGGAUACUGCCUCCGUAAGGAGGAGGAAGGUGGGGACGACGUCAAGUCAUCAUGGCCCUUACGCCUAGGGCUACACACGUGCUACAAUGGGGUGCACAAAGAGAAGCAAUACUGCGAAGUGGAGCCAAUCUUCAAAACAUCUCUCAGUUCGGAUUGUAGGCUGCAACUCGCCUGCAUGAAGCUGGAAUCGCUAGUAAUCGCAAAUCAGCCAUGUUGCGGUGAAUACGUUCCCGGGUCUUGUACUCACCGCCCGUCACACCAUGGGAGUUGUGUUUGCCUUAAGUCAGGAUGCUAAACUAGCUACUGCCCACGGCACACACAGCGACUGGGGUGAAGUCGUAACAAGGUAACCGUAGGUGAACCUGCGGUUGGAUCACCUCCUUUCUAGA
rnacentral:rRNA from 1 species